rnacentral:rRNA from 1 species
AACGCGAAGAACCUUACCUGGGCUUGACAUGCACGUGGUAAAAGCCUGAAAGGGUGAUGACCCGCAAGGGAGCGUGCACAGAUGCUGCAUGGCUGUCGUCAGCUCGUGCCGUGAGGUGUUGGGUUAAGUCCCGCAACGAGCGCAACCCUCGCUGCCAGUUACCAUGUCUGGCGGGACCGCCGGGUCCAACCCGGAGGAAGGUGGGGAUGACGUCAAGUCAGCACGGCUCUUACGUCCAGGGCUACACACACGCUACAAUGGCCGGUACAACGCGCAGCGAAGGGGCGACCCGGAGCGAAUCGCAGCAAAGCCGGUCUCAGUUGGGAUUGCAGGCUGCAACUCGCCUGCAUGAACGCGGAGUUGCUAGUAACCGCAGGUCAGCACACUGCGGUGAAUACGUUCCCGGGCCUUGUACACACCGUAGUAC